rnacentral:rRNA from 1 species
AUUGAACGCUGGCGGAAUGCUUUACACAUGCAAGUCGAACGGCAGCACGGACUUCGGUCUGGUGGCGAGUGGCGAACGGGUGAGUAAUGUAUCGGAACGUGCCCAGUCGUGGGGGAUAACGUAGUGAAAAUUACGCUAAUACCGCAUACGAUCUAUGGAUGAAAGCGGGGGAUCGCAAGACCUCGCGCGAUUGGAGCGGCCGAUAUCAGAUUAGGUAGUUGGUGGGGUAAAGGCCCACCAAGCCAACGAUCUGUAGCUGGUCUGAGAGGACGACCAGCCACACUGGAACUGAGACACGGUCCAGACUACUACGGGAGGCAGCAGUGGGGAAUUUUGGACAAUGGGCGAAAGCCUGAUCCAGCCAUUCCGCGUGCAGGAUGAAAGCCCUCGGGUUGUAAACUGCUUUUGUACAGAACGAAAAGGUUUCUACUAAUACUAGGAGCUCAUGACGGUACUGUAAGAAUAAGCACCGGCUAACUACGUGCCAGCCGCCGCAGUAA